AUGUUUCCGUCUUUUCCUCCAGGUCAGAAGCUCUUACUACUUGUUGCUGUCACGCUAAUCCUGCAGCAUAGUACCACUGUUUAUGGGUCUGGGUCUUCUGAGAGCAUCAACAUGGCACGGCCUGGCUGCCCAGACAAGUGUGGUAACGUCAGCAUCCCGUACCCGUUCGGCACUGGAAAGGGCUGCUUCCAAGAACCCUUUAAUGUUACAUGCCAUGAGAGCAGGGCAUAUCUGGCCUCAACCGGAGUUAGGGUACUAGACAUCAAUCUUACCUUUGGUGAGGUUCGUGUUCAGAACCCAAAUAUAGCAUCGCAAUGCAACUACACCAACGGCACCAAUAGCACCAGUAUGGUUGGCUUAAGUCUUGAUCCUUUUCAUAAGGUUUCCAACACCAAGAACAAGUUGAUAUCAAUCGGGUGUAGUAUGCUUGGAAUGAUUGUAGGACUGACCAAGGGCAAGAACCAGCUUGAAUUACCCAUUGUCAACUCAUGCUUUUCAUUUUGUACCGAUGCAAGUAGCGUGGAUGAUACCACAGAGUGCGCUGGCAUGGGUUGCUGCCAGUCCCCCUUUCCAGGAAACAUCAGCUCCUUCAACACCACAUCUACACCAAUACCACCUAUAUAUAACGCUACCAUCCAGUCUUUUAGCCCAUGCAGCUACUCAUUCAUCGCUGAGGUGGACUCGUUCAAGUUUGAUCGUUCAUAUGUCAGCUCUACAAAUUUCAGAAGCAAAUAUACUGAGGGGUUUCCUUUGGUACUUGAUUGGGUUGUUGGUAAUGCAAGUUGUUCUGAAGCCACCAAGAUGGGGUCACAGUAUGCCUGUCAAGCCAUGAACAGCCAAUGUAUUAAUGUGUCCAAUGGCCCUGGGUACCGCUGCAACUGCUCUCAAGGUUAUGUGGGCAAUCCUUACCUACAAGGAGGGUGCCGAGACAUCAAUGAGUGCGAACCUCCAAACCAGUCUUUGUAUCCUUGCAAAGGUAAUUGUAGAAAUACCGCUGGGAGCUACACCUGUUCAUGCCCAUCAGGAUUCAGGAGUGAUGAUCCAAAGAGCAUACCCUGCGUUCGAGCUGACCCAAACAAAGCUCUGAAGGUGGCCUUAGGCACAUCCGCCGGUGUCGUCUUCCUCAUGGUUUGCAUGUUUGCUCUACGGGCUGAAUAUCAGAAAAGGAAGCUGGCAAAAGAGAAGGAAAGAUUCUUCGAUCAGAAUGGUGGUCAGAUACUGUACCAUCAGAUUAUGUCAAAACAAGUCGAUACAUUGAAGAUAUUCACGCAGGAAGAUCUGAAGAAGGCUACAAACGAUUUUGACAAGAGCAGAGAAGUGGGCAAGGGGGGUCACGGCACUGUCUACAAGGGAAUUCUUAAGGAUAACAAGGAAGUAGCCGUGAAACGCUCAAAGAUCAUGAAUGUGGCCGAAACUGACGAGUUUGUGCAGGAGAUUAUUAUACUUUCACAAACCAACCACCGUAAUGUGGUCAGGCUUUUAGGGUGCUGCUUAGAGGUGGAAGUUCCGAUGCUGGUCUAUGAAUUCAUCCCGAAUGGCACUCUCUUUCAUUUUAUCCAUCGUAACUACGGAAGUCCACCUCCCUCGCUGGACACCCGUCUCAGGGUCGCUCAAGAAUCUGCUGAAGCACUGGCGUAUCUGCAUCUGUCCAUGAACCGCCCUAUAGUACACGGAGAUGUUAAGUCUAUGAACAUUCUCUUGGACGAGAACUACAUGGCGAAAGUGACCGACUUUGGGGCGUCAAGGAUGCUCCCCAAGGAUGAGGUUCAGUUCAUGACAUUGGUGCAGGGCACCAUGGGUUACCUGGACCCUGAGUACCUGCAGGAGCGGAAGCUAACAGAGAAGAGCGACGUUUACAGCUUUGGCGUUGUGCUGCUGGAACUGAUCACGGGGAAAACAGCCAUCUACCACGACGGCCCCAUGGAAGCCAAGAACCUCGCGUCGUCCUUCCUGCUCGCGAUGAAGGAUGGGAGCCUUGAUGCUGGCAUCCUGGAUGCUAGCAUAGUAAGCGCCUGGACGGAGACACUGCUGGGAGAAGUUACCGAGCUGGCGAGUAUGUGCUUGAGCACCAGGGGGAAAGAGAGACCUUCCAUGACCCAGGUGGCUGACAAGCUGAAGGCUCUGCGAAGCACCUGGAGGGAGAAACUGGUGCUCGAGCAUGGCCAAUCAGAGAGUCUGGUCAUUGGCUCCUCGCCUGCAGCUUUAAUGCUUCGCGUUCCUCCGCCGCUGAGCAUGUUCUCGACUGGGGCCCAGAUAUCUGAAGUAGGUAUAGAGACACCCAGAUGA
rnacentral:rRNA from 1 species